GAACGUGUCUCCCACCAGAUGCGGCUGGAGGCAGGGACUGGCGCAGCCGUUGUGAGGAGACAACCUGCUGUGAGACGCGCCCGGCCGGGGACUGCUGCUGACCGGCCGCUCCUGCACUGCCCGCCCUGGGGCUGGUGGACGCAUCGUGGGAGUUUGGUGCCCGACAGGAUCAGGAAUGGGCUGCAGCGGGCAACUCAGAAACGAGGAUCACAGAUGGCCAACAAGUGACGAGGAGGGAAACCCAGGAGACGCAGCCUGGGUGGCGAGCCCGCUGCUUUGGACACACCAGCGCCCCCGUCUCAUGAAGCCAGCACUUUCCACUCCCGUCCCCCCCCCGGGGGCCUGAGACACAGGCCUGGCCCACAGUCAUGGAGCUCGGUCCCAGGACCUCUGCCAGGACGAACGGGAAAGAGGCUCUGUCUUUCCCUCCUGGGGCUUCCAGGAGGGCGAGGUACAAGCCUGGAGCCCCUGGAAGCAAGUCCAGAGAUGGCCUGGUUGAGCACAGAGUCAAUCCAGAGGAAGGCAGAAUUGGGCAGAAGGGAGAGAAAAAGGGAGACGGAGGUGACAGGGGAG